rnacentral:lncRNA from 1 species
GGCGGCGGCGGCGGCGGCGGCGGCCCCCGGUGCUGCCCGGACAUGGUUUCAGCCGCCGCCCCCGCCGCCGCCGCCGCCGCCGCCGCUGCCCAGCCGCCCCGGCUGCAUGAAGCGACGCCGCUGCGCCCCCGGCCCUGGCCGCUGUCCCGCUGCGCCGGGGGGGAGCCCGGCCGCAUGGCCCCCCCUCCCCGCUCUCCUCGCGGCGUCCGGGGGGCCCCCCACCACCCCCCUCAGUCUCUGGCAAGGGGACCGAGGGGGGCGCGCGGACCCGCCGGCUGCACCUGCUCCGUCUGCAGCGCCCCCGCUUCCCCGGCUCCGCCGCGGCUCCCGCUCCAGCUUCUGCCGCCGCCGCCGCGCGCUGUGGCAGCCCCGAGUUCCUUCCCCGCUGCUAACUUUCUGCCGGGAGAGCGGAGAGACGCGGAGGGGGCCGGGCGCGCGCCCCGCGCCGCCGAGGGAAGGGGGAGUGCGCCUCGCGCGCGCCUGUGGAGGGGGGCGCGGGCGCGCGGGCGUGCGCUCGGGCUGGGGCACCCGGGGAGGCGGAGAUCGCGCCCCCAACCCCGCGCGCCGCACGCACUCGCUGGAGGUGUUCUCCGCCCCGCCCCGCGUGCUUCCCCUCCCCUGGGAGCCGGGGACGCCGGGUUCUCCAUUCCUCUCCCGGUACUUUUGAGGGACGUAGAGCCGGACGCCCGCCGCCGGUGCUGCUCACCUGCGAGCUGGGGGACCCGAGGGCAGCGACCUCUCGCUUCCCCUUUUCCCCUGGGACUCCGAGCAAACUCGGCCCAUCCCCCGACCCGCCCGUCUCUCACCCUGGAUAGCCUCCUGCCUUUAGUCCAGGAGUGGUUUCUUCAUAACUGCUCUCUCAUUCCAACUUCCAUCUUUCCAUUCUCCCCAUCUUAUCUUGAAGCUCCUGACGGGUGGAGCGUUGACACAAACCCCCAGGUUUCUCUACCCCUAGAGCUUUCGCGUCCUUCCCCGCCACCGGGUGACUGCGCAUUCUGCUCCAAAAGAUGAGUCUGUUCCCUCAUCCACACCCUUAACCACAGGUACACCUGCGCCCCUUGGAGGCGUUGCCACUAAAGGAGUUAGAUUUCCCUGGACUGAAAUAGACUGUGACCAUUAUCGCUCUAAACACCUUAUAAGCAGAGGCAAGUUGGAUUGCAGGGUGUCUAUGCAUCGCUUCACUGAAUUUUUUUAAGUACAUUCUUUUCAGCGAAAUUUCCACCCCUCACGUCCCUCUCCAGGGGAGGUAAUGGUAAACAUCAAAAGGCUUUGGAAGAUUCAAAACUAGACUUGCUUCCCGGAGGUGGGGGAAAUCGGAGUCUGCAAAGGGAAGAUGAGGCAGAGUCAUUAACGGAGUAGCUCUAGUGAACUCGGAGUCCUGGGGACAGGGUUGGCUCUGCACACACCCGCGAACAGUAUCUCCCAGGGGCCAGCUCUCGGGAUCCCAUUCACCCCGCCAG